GAUCCUGGCUCAGGAUGAACGCUAGCUACAGGCUUAACACAUGCAAGUCGAGGGGCAGCAUUCCAGUUUGCUUGCAAACUGGAGAUGGCGACCGGCGCACGGGUGAGUAACACGUAUCCAACCUGCCGAUAACUCGGGGGUAGCCUUUCGAAAGAAAGAUUAAUACCCGAUGGCAUAAUAGAACCGCAUGGUUUGAUUAUUAAAGAAUUUCGGUUAUCGAUGGGGAUGCGUUCCAUUAGGCAGUUGGG
rnacentral:rRNA from 1 species